UUAGCUGUGACGAGAUGCUAACAUGUAAGAAGACCUCUCUUGUAUUGGAUCUUCAAUGAAAUUCAUUUGUUACGCUUGGCUUCUGAGCUUU
rfam:Citrus sinensis cultivar Ridge Pineapple sweet orange scaffold00106_contig_51, whole genome shotgun sequence.